AGGAAUCCCGAAAGAGAUUUGGGAGUGCUCGAAAAGAGAACCUGCACACAGGUGCUGCAUGGCUGUCGUCAGCUCGUGUCGUGGGAUGUUGGGUUAAGUCCCGCAACGAGCGCAACCCUUGUCAUUAGUUGCUACGAAAGAGCACUCUAAUGAGACUGCCGGUGACAAACCGGAGGAAGGUGGGGAUGACGUCAAGUCCUCAUGGCCCUUAUGGGUAGGGCUUCACACGUCAUACAAUGGUACAUACAGAGGGCCGCCAACCCGCGAGGGGGAGCUAAUCCCAGAAAGUGUAUCGUAGUCCGGAUUGUAGUCUGCAACUCGACUACAUGAAGUUGGAAUCGCUAGUAAUCGCGGAUCAGCAUGUCGCGGUGAAUACGUUCCCGGGUCUUGUACACACCGCCCGUCACACCAUGGGAGCGGGUUUUACCAGAAGUAGGUAGCUUAACCGCAAGGAGGGCGCUUACCACGGUAGGAUUCGUGACUGGGGUGAAGUCGUAACAAGGUAGCCGUAUCGGAAGGUGCGGCUGGAUCACCUCCUUAAUCGGAUCCC
rnacentral:rRNA from 1 species